UACGGUGAAUACGUUCCCGGACCUUGUACACACCGCCCGCCAAGCCAUGGAAGCUGGGUGUACCUAAAGUCGGUAACCGCAAGGAGCCGCCUAGGGUAAAACUAGUAACUGGGGCU
rnacentral:rRNA from 1 species